ensembl:lncRNA
AAGGGGGAAGGGGACAAAAUGAGAGCCACUGAGGUUGAGUGGGUAGUUUGAGGGCUCAUACCAAACUUGAUGGGUGAAGAGGGUGGAGUACAAAGGGAUGGAGUAGGGCAGGGGGAUGCUUCUGUUCUGAGGGAUCCUAGAUCCUCUAUAAAGGCAGUGAGAUGGAAAGCCCAGCUGAAGUGCCUUUAUACCAGUGCACACAGCCUAAGAAAUAAGCAGGAUGAGUUGGAAACUCUGAUCCACUUGGAAAGUUAUGACCUUGUUGCUAUCAUGGAAACAUGGUGGGAUGACUCCCAUAACUGGAAUACCACCACUGAGGGGUAUUGGCUCUUUAGAAGGGAUAGGCAAGGUAGGAAGAGUGGGGGAGUUGCCCUCUAUGCCCAAGACUGGAUAGACCGUGAAGAGCUCCCUCUGAGAAACAGUCAGGAACAGGUUGAGAGCCUGUGGGUUAAAAUUGGGGACAGGACUAAUAAAGGCCAGCUGGUGAUAGGGGUAUACUACAGGCCACCUGAUCAAGGGGAGACUGUUGAUGGCGCCUUCUUGCUUCAGAUGUUGGAGGCAUUGUGCUUAUGGGCUCUGGUCCUGGUGGGGGACUUCAACCAUCCGGAUAUCUGUUGGAAAGACCACACAGCGAGCUUCAAGAGGUCCAGGAGGCUCCUAGAAUCCAUUGAUGAUAACUUUCUGGUUCAGGUAUUGGACAGACCUGACGUGCGUAAUAAAACUCUAUAACCACAAAGUAGUUAUAAAAUCAGGUAUGUUUAAUCAAUGCUGCGCAGAUGCCAGGUGCAAGGGGGAUAGCUCCUCCUAACUUGCACACCGUAGGACAAAAGCUUGAUACAGAUAUAGGCAGAAAUAAUGCAUAAUCAAUGCUUUUCCCUGAAUUUGUAUACAUAUUCA